rnacentral:misc_RNA from 1 species
UCUCUCUCUCUCUGUCUUUCUCUGAGGGUCUUUUUUUGGGGUUCAAUCUGUAAAUUUGACGUAGCUUUUCAGAACCCUAAUAUGUUGCUUUUUUUUGUUCUGGUUCAAAUCUUCUUCUGCAAAUCUUAAGCUGAAGGUGCCAUGUGAAUCCUAGCUUUUGAGUUAUUUUUUGCUUUUGUAAAGUAUUAGACAUGCAAUUGUUUACCCCACAAGAUAAAAAAUUUAGGGUUUCUAAGCUCAAUCUUGCUUUUCAAGAUUUAGCUGUUUAGCUGCUGUUCUUAUUGUUGUUAUUGUUUUAUUCUUAGCUUUGAAAAGUAAAAUUUGUGAAGGAAUUUCGAAAUGAAGAGAUUGAGAUCGAGUGAUGAUCUCGAUUCCUAUAAUGAGAAGGGCUCUGCUAAAGAUUCGAAUCCCAGUCGAUCGUCUCGAAGCUUUUACUACAAAUCUGAUAAUGUACGGAAG